GCGGAUAUGGUUUAGUGGUAAAAUACGUCCUUGCCAAGGAUGAGUCGGGGUUUCGAUUACCCCUAUCCGCA
rnacentral:tRNA from 1 species